ACAACAUAGCUACAACAAAAAAAAUAAAUUUGUGGAAUGUGAAAAUAAAAACUGAUAAGAGAGAUCGAAGCUGAGAGUUAGUCACAAAUUCGUUGUCAUUUCCUUCCUAAAUCUUGUGAAAUGCAGACUUAUUUAGCUUGUAUUUUUUUGAUCACUUGCUUUCCUUGCUACCUGGGAACCUCCCUGUUUUUGGAUAAUCGUUGUGGAUAUUUAAAUGUAGGCAAAGUUGUCAAUGGACAGAAUGCAAAUCAAGAAUACGCUGCUUGGAUGGCAGCUAUAAGAAAUGAGACCGAUUUUUUUUGCGGAGGCACGCUGAUUCACAAUCUUUUUGUUUUAACUGCCGCCCAUUGCACGCACAAACGAAAAAAAUUAUUUGUAAGUUUGGGAGCAUACAACAAAAGUGAUCCUCUCCUUGAGUACAAUGUCACUACUGCAAUAGUGCACCGUUUGUGGUCCAUACACAAGUAUCAGCAUGAUAUAUGCUUGCUGAAAUUAUCAAGAAGGGUCGAGUACAACCUCCGCGUUCUUCCGAUCUGUAUAAUUGUGGAUAAGAAUAGGAGUUUGCUUCCGGCAACGUUUAAAGCCUUUGGCUGGGGAAUAAAAAGUGACGGCAUGGAUUCGGAUAUACUUCAAACAUUCACACUUAACCAUUUAAAUCAAACCAAGUGCAAAAGCCGCUUGGAUGUGACUCUCAGUUCGGACGAGAUAUGUGCAGGUGCCUAUAACAGCGAUUCCUGCAAUGGCGAUUCCGGAGGUCCAUUAAGUACUACUCUGGCCCUUAAUGGCAGUAGGCCGCGAAUUUCAGGUCGGUAUCGUAAGCUUUGGCCUAAAAACUUGCAAUGGCCCGGGAGUGUACACCAAUGUGGCUAGUUAUGUGGACUGGAUACAGAAAAACCUAAACGACCAUGAUGAUUCUAAUAAGCCACAACAAUCUCCGCCUGCAAUAAUUCAAGACAUGUGGUUGCACGGGGACUGCGGUGGCGAAACCAUGGCAUCAAUUUUACAGGCCGAAAUUUUUGGACUUAAUUUUAGGGCCAAGGGAGUGCUGAUCACAGACCGUUUUGUCAUAACAGUUGCCAGAGACUUACCGGAAAACACUGCUGCGCUAAAUUUGAAAUGUUUUUACAACUAUUCCACAGAGAAGUUGAUGUAGUCGGAAAAGGACGGUCCCAUGGUGAAUACAGAGUUGACUUAGUCCUUAAGCACAAAAUAAAUGAUAUAGCUUUGCUAAAACUUAAUCGACCGGUGACGCCACCAGACGGAAUAAAACCAAUCUGUAUGCUUUCAAACACACAACUCCAACGGAAAGGGGAACCUAAUUCGCCCCUUUUUGUAUUAGACAACGUGCGAAUUUCCGCUGUUAACGUUGAAUUUGUUAAUCCCCUUGAGUGUUCAUUCAGGACCCAGAGAUCAAUCAAUACGAAUGAAAUUUGUGCGAAUGCUCUUUCUGGAAUGAGCCAUACAUUUUUAAAACCUGGCGACAUAUUGGGACAAUAGGAUUAUGAUUUCGGAAAAAGAACGGUUCGUUUUAUUUGGUUUGGUAAGCUAUUCAUAUAAUGGUUGCCACAUUCUUACAAAUGUUAUGAGACAAACUGAGUUGAUCGCAAAUGCGAUGAAAAAAUAUUAAGCUAAGCAACCAACUAGAAUGGCUUUACCAAGGUUUUAAAUUUCGAAUAAACUAUAAAAU